UACGUAGGGUCCGAGCGUUGUCCGGAAUUAUUGGGCGUAAAGAGCUCGUAGGCGGUUUGUCGCGUCUGCUGUGAAAUCCCGAGGCUCAACCUCGGGUCUGCAGUGGGUACGGGCAGACUGGAGUGCGGUAGGGGAGAAUGGAAUUCCUGGUGUAGCGGUGGAAUGCGUAGAUAUCUGGAGGAACACCGGUGGCGAAGGCGGCAUCCUGGACCAAUACUGACGCUGAGGAGCGAAAGCCAGGGGAGCAAACGGG
rnacentral:rRNA from 1 species